GCCCGGCUAGCUCAGUCGGUAGAGCACGAGACUCUUAAUCUCAGAGUCGUGGGUUCGAGCCCCACAAUGGGCG
rnacentral:tRNA from 13 species